AAGCAGGCUCUGCAGCUGAUCCACUGCACAUGGAGCUGUGGCCAGUGCAAAUUCAGAGUACAGAGCCUUUCUUGAGUGUGUAUUUUAAAUGUGUGGAGAGGAAAAAGCUACCUAGAGGGAGAGCCUGAGGCUGGAGCUUGCCGAGAACACCAUGUGGAAGUGGCUCGCUCAGCUGCUGUUGCUCAGCAGGGAAGCAUGGAAAAUACAGAUCCUGAAUGCUGGACUGGCUUGUCCUGAAAAUGGCACAUGUUUGAACAUGGAGUAA
rnacentral:lncRNA from 1 species